AAAGAUCACUCCGCGACACACUCGAUGCGGCGCUGUCGUUCAGCAGCAGAUGACGCGCUGUCUGCGGCUGACUUGUCAUUCCCACUCGCAAUCACCGCUGUCAUCAAAAUGGACUUAUGCUAGCAACAAGUUCUGACUGAACUCAAUUGUCAUGAAACCCAUAUACAGCGAUUAGUUUUUCUCUCUUUCACACAAACUUAUAACGAGGAGCGACCACAAUAUGUUUUGUGCGGGGAAAUGCUUAGUAACGAGUCUCUCAAAACGAACGAAUUACUAAAACGACGUGUCCUGACCAAACAUCCUCAGCAUGAUGGUAAACCCAGGGAGUUAUUUGAGAACAGGGCAGAAUGCUACAGGAAACAGUGCUUCGACAGUGGAAAAGCUCCCCCGCAUUGAGCACUUCCGCCAUCAUUACGCACGCCAGCCUUCCCCCCCCCCCCCGUCACGCGCAUCAGCGAUUACUGGACUCACCUGGACUCAAUCACCUCUGUCAUUACCUUCCAUAUAUCUGUCUGGUUACCCGCUCUGUUCCCUGCUCCAGCAUUAAUUGUCGUUUGUCGUUGUUUACCCGUGUACUGACGCUGUUCCUGAAUAAUUGUUGACUCGCCGUACCUGCUUCUCAUUUCCCGGCAUCGGUCCUUAAACCAGCUAUCAGUAAGGCUGAAGGACAGGCUAGAGAGAGUCUGAGGACGGCAGUGUCUGUUAAUCACUCAGGGAUAAAUAGAGAGGCAGAGCUCAGAGUUUGUCAGAAGGCUGACCUGACAGGGUCACGCACAGGACCAAGCAGGAGAAGGACCGCAGCAUUUUACCCUUUAUUACAAAUGGACGAACACAAAGAUGCUCAAUACUGUUUUGAAAACCUAAACUCUUCUUGCUGAAAGGUGUUGCUAUCGACAUCUAUUUACAUAACACUGUACAUCUUCUUAUUGAUUUCAGCAGUUACAGUAUUUUUUAACAUACUGGUGAUCAUCUCCAUCUCUCACUUCAAGCAGCUCAUCACUCCACCAACCUGCUCACCUUCUCUGGCUGUGGAAGAUCCCCUGGUGGGGCUGAUUGUGAUACCAGUAGCGACAGUAGCAGUAAUGGAAUCAUCCUAAGUUUUUGGGAAAUAUUCCUGUGAAUGUUUUCUCUACAUUGGUUAUGUAAUUCUUUCUUCAUCUUUGGGCAAUUUGGUCUUGAUAUCUAGUGACUGCUAUGUUGAUGUGUGUGAUCCCUUGUUGUACCACUCUAAAAUAACAAUAUCAAGAAUUAUACUACUGGUGGGUCUAAUCCUGAAUGCUGAUUGGUUAAAACCGCAUUCCAACCAGUGUCUAUUCCACAAGUUAUCACUGGCUAAAUCUAUGACAUUAAAAUGCCUAUUUACUCUAUUCCAUCUGGCAGCAGAAUCAACUGUCUCAUCAGCCCAGCCAGGCAAUUUAUAAACUUGAUCUCUACUAUAAAAAGCAUGUAGACAUUAUCUCACAUUUCUUUUACACUUUAGUUUUCAACUAUAAACCUUGCUGUCUGUCUCUCCGACGUUUGCAACAUUGUUUCAAUAUUCAAAUUCGAUCUCCAGCUGUCCCAUAGUAAUUAAUGUGUCGGGAGGCAGGGCGAGACAGGCAGGCAGCGUGGCAGCGUUUCUCAGCCAGUCAAAAUCAUGAAUCAGCUGCCAUCAUUUUUAUGGAUAUAUACAAAGAAAUGUCAAAUGAAGUGCAGCUAGUACAUUUUCUAUGCCAGGCAAAAUCACACCUCAUUAGCUCAUUGUUAUGGAUGUAUCUGAAAAUGUCACAAAAAAACUGCUUAAACAAAUGCAAAUGCAGCUACUGUUGUUAUUCUGGCUGCACUGUUUGACGUGACUAAGUUAAUCGUAGCUGGCUGGCUGGCUAGCAAGCAAGGGAUAAGAACCUUGCCAGCCAGUAUGGCUAUGGGACAUUUAUGACAAACGACUGGGUCUCGUCCAAAAGACUGAACGACUGGAGCGCGUCUCUGGCAACCAAACCGAUAGAACGAACGACCAGCCGGCUUGGGAAGCAACCAUAGAUUUGAGUCGGGACUAUAUCUUGUGGAAGGAGGAAAUAGUAUGAAUAAAUUAACCCGUUGUAGAAAAGUGAUAAUGCUCUCGAAGUUGGUGUUUGGAGGAUAUAUUACCAUGGUUUGUCGGCUCUCGACUUCGUCUCAGGCCUAACACCGGUGCCAAUAUAUCCUCCAAAUACCGGCAUCUCAGGGUUUAUCACUUAAUUAUGCGUUGUAUAUCUAUUACCUGGUGGUGUUGUAUCGUAUACAGUGCUGCUAUUGUAAAUGACUCUGCAAAUGUACAGGUACCCAGGAGGUGUUUUAAAUAAUGUUUUAUUGUUGAAGGAUUUAACUGGAGUAGCAUCAUUGACCUUUUAAUUACGAUGGUUGUCCCGUGCUCUAUUAUUAUAAGGCUUUAUUUUUCAAAAGAGGCUGGCACCAAGUCUGGUCUUAAAAUCGUACAGGCAAAUAAGUCUGAGGGAAGAGCAGCAAAAACUCUAGGUAUUGUUGUUUUCAACUGUCUUGUUGGAUUCCCGCCCAAAAUUAUACAUUUUUCAUUCUCCAAUCAUCACCGUACAUCUUUCUGCCACUUGUUAAUUCCUUUAUUAAUCCAAUACUUUAUGCUUUAUUUUAUCCAUGGUUCAAAGUGACAGCUAGACAUAAUUUUACUCUGAAGUUGAAGCGUUCAUAGUUCCUACCUUUUUAUUCCUAAAUUUGACAUACACAGGGUUGAUAUUGUUAUGUUAAUACAUCUAGACGUUCCGCUAGCGGAACACCUGCUCCAAUAUCCAAUGAUAGGCGUGGCGCGAAUUACAAAUUCCUCAAAAAUACAAAAACUUCAAUUUUUCAAACAUAUGACUAUUUCACAGCAUUUUAAAGACAAGACUCUCCUUUAUCU